CAAGUCGAACGAGAAAGUGGAGCAAUCCAUGAGUAAAGUGGCGACCGGGUGAGUAACACGUGACCAACCUACCCUCGAGUGGGGAACAACCUCGGGAAACCGGGGCUAAUACCGCAUAAUGUCUUUGGGGUGCAAUUCCCUGGGGAUCAAAGGAGCAAUUCGCUUGAGGAGGGGGUCGCGGCUGAUUAGCUAGUUGGCGGGGUAAUGGCCCACCAAGGCGAAGAUCGGUAGCCGGCCUGAGAGGGCGCACGGCCACACUGGAACUGAAACACGGUCCAGACUCCUACGGGAGGCAGCAGUGGGGAAUUUUGCGCAAUGGGGGAAACCCUGACGCAGCAACGCCGCGUGGAGGAUGAAGUCCUUUGGGACGUAAACUCCUUUCGACCGGGACGAUAAUGACGGUACCGGUGGAAGAAGCCCCGGCUAACUCUGUGCCAGCAGCCGCGGUAAUACAGGGGGGGCGAGCGUUGUUCGGAAUUAUUGGGCGUAAAGGGCGCGUAGGCGGUGCGGUAAGUCACCUGUGAAACCUCUGGGCUUAACCCAGAGCCUGCAGGCGAAACUGCCGUGCUAGAGUGUGGGAGAGGUGCGUGGAAUUCCCGGUGUAGCGGUGAAAUGCGUANAUAUCGGGAGGAACACCUGUGGCGAAAGCGGCGCACUGGACCACAACUGACGCUGAGGCGCGAAAGCUAGGGGAGCAAACAGGAUUAGAUACCCUGGUAGUCCUAGCCCUAAACUAUGGAUGCUUGGUGUGUCGGGUACCCAAUCCCGACGUGCCGCAGCUAACGCGUUAAGCAUCCCGCCUGGGGAGUACGGUCGCAAGGCU
rnacentral:rRNA from 1 species